AGAAAUCGACGCCGGUUAUAAAAUUCGUAAACACGUCGCACGAAAACAAGGUCGCAUCAGCGCGCUAUCAUUCGAGCGUGACGCAGGACUUGGAUCGGUCGACAGUGGUGCCGCGUCACUGCGUCGUAUUAUUUUUUCAAACGUUGGCAAGUACUGACAAACGAACGAGAUUCCUUACGAACGAUUAGAGAUUAAAAUCGCGACUAAUUCGUUUCUCGAGUGUACCAAGAUUAAUGGCGUAUCGACGCGACGAUUUUUAUGUACUUUCGAAGUGGAUAUUCGACAUCGCUACCCGUCGCAUCGUUAAAUACGCACGAGAUUAAGUUAGUUCAACGCCUUAACGUAAGAAUACGAUCUCUUAUCGAGGCCUGCAUGGGAAUUUGGGAGAUGUACGUUCCGAUUUGUGUCGUGUCUUUGUGUUGUGUCUUAAAUAAGUAUGUAACGGCAACGGGAAAAUUUCGGUAUUCGGUAUAACCGUCGCACUCCUGCGUCGUAUUUAUUCUUUAAAGUCGUUACGGCAAGUAUCGGGAAGCGGAGACUUUUUACAAAUUAGAGGUUAUAAUCGCGAUUAAUGACUAAAAGACUUCUUAAGAGCUAUUCGAUUUAUAUUCUAGUUCAAGUUAGUGAUCGCACUUUCGAUGUACGAUAAUGUAGGAUCUUAGGAUUUUAUUGAGUGCCAACGUACUUAUUGAUUCGAAUUAUGUCGACGGAAUAUGGGUAUUUUAUCUUGGGGGGGAGGGAAGGUUUUAUAUAAAUGGGAAUAUCGUGUACCGCGCAAAAAUUGUUACUGAUAAUUAGCCACGAGUGUUUCUCGGGAGUGUUGUGCAAGUGUAAGUUAAGAAGAUUUGACAACCUAGAAGGAAGUGCCUGAUAAUUUGAGAGGAGGUGGAGGCCUUGGAGAGGCGUCGGGCAUCGACGAGUUUUUGUUUGCGAUUUCAACGUAGUCAACGUAGCAGAUAACUCCGCUGUUGCGCAUCGGUCGGUUCUUAUAGUAAAUUCUCGUGAAUUCUUUGGAGAAACUCUACACGGGAAUUACUGGAUCGUCCAUCCAUAAGUUAGGACAGCAAAGUAACGAACGGAUUAAUUCUUACACUGAUGAUCUUUCGUGUAAAACGGAGACAAUACAUCAAGAUAACUUGUAAGUUUAACCGUAAACGAACGUCAUAUUUUGUUCCUGCUAUCGAAACUACCCGGACAUUAUUUUGGAUGGUGCAGCCUCUGUCGUUGUCCAGCGGUACAAAAGGACAGCCGGCGUGGGAGAAGCUGCGGCUUGUGCAACAUAAAUAGAGAUACCAAGUGAGAAGGGUGCAACGAAGGUGCGACUACGACUGUGCCGACAACAGAUGGCUACGUUCAGUUCUGCCGAUGGACCAUAUUACGACCUGCUAUUAUCGACCGACCGAACAAAAUAAUUGAUCACCGAAGCCUUCGGACAGAAACGCCGGCGCGUGAAUCAGUGUAAGCAAAAAGCGAGACGAACUCGUGAGUAAUCCGGAAUACGAAAAAGUUUACUGGUUAUAGCAGUGGAGCACCUGUGGCAUUCUGUACGAGGAGGUGAAGUCCAUAAGAUCGGGGUUGAACGAAAAGCUGUGAAAAAAGGGAACCUACAUCUCAAGUGAUCUUUCCUAUCCUUCGUCAGUUGGCGACACCGUGCAAUCCUCAAUAUCUACAACCACCCAACAGGUGGCAGCACGCCCUAGAAUGUCAAGUAUUCAUCUUUCGAGGAAUUCCGCCUUCGUGUAUGCACACCCAAAGUACGAGCUAAAGUUCAAAUGGCCAUGCACUUAACGGGCGAAACGGGGCAGUGGGUGCACCGCGGGAUAAUUCGAUCUUAUCGCGUGUUGAACAAGCCGCCCGCUGGGAAAUCGACCGUACGGGUCGUUAAAAAUCAAGAGAUUGCGACAAACCGUGCAAACACGCUGUGGAAAUGGCCCAACAAAGGAAACCAAAAAUAAAACAAUCGAAAACUUUAUAAUAUAGAAGAUAAAUAUCCGACAUCCUGCUUAACGGAUCUUCUGAAUCAACUUUGGAGAGAAUACUGUAAUCGUUUACGUACGUGAUUGCUGAUGUGGGAAGAUAUUCGGCAGAUGGGAAUGAUGGAAAUAAGGGUGCAAAGAGGAUAUUGAUCGUCCUUGUACUCCUUAAAGGCACGAUAGAGCAGUGCCCUUGAAACUAGCCUACCGUUCUAAAGCGGCACAAUGUGACGAUAUAGCAUAACGUACAGCAGCGAUGUCGUUUCCAUGGCAAUGCAUCGAUGGGUCUGGGAACGUGCUAACUUUCGCGCAUGCACAGUGUACAUGGGACGCAUGCCACAGCAUUAAAACACAGGUUGAGGUAACAUUUGAUGGAAUAAUUGAACAACUAUACAGAACCCUCAAGAAGACAUCGGAUUUCCAUUAAAUUAAUUAGUUAAAUUAAUUGAUAUUAUCAAAUAUCAUAUUGCAAAAGCGUAAAAUUGUAGUUAAUUUGAAUGAUAAGAUAUAAAUUGAUCAGAUUACAAAUCA
rnacentral:lncRNA from 1 species